rnacentral:ncRNA from 1 species
UUCCUCAAAAGAGGGAUAUCACAUUGGGCGGGGGACCGUCCGUUUGCUAACGGAAGACAGAAA